rnacentral:rRNA from 1 species
CUACGGGGUGCUCCAGUGAGGAAUAUUGCACAAUGGGGGGAACCCUGAUGCAGCAACGCCGCGUGGAGGAUGACGCAUUUCGGUGUGUAAACUCCUUUUGUAUGUCAAGAAAAUGACGGUAGCAUAUGAAUAAGCACCGGCUAACUCCGUGCCAGCAGCCGCGGUAAUACGGAGGGUGCAAGCGUUACUCGGAAUCACUGGGCGUAAAGGACGCGUAGGCGGGUUGGAAAGUCAGGUGUGAAAUCCUACAGCUUAACUGUAGAACUGCACUUGAAACUUCUAAUCUAGAGUAUGGGAGGGGGAGAUGGAAUUAGUGGUGUAGGGGUAAAACCCGUAGAUAUCACUAGGAAUACCUAAAGCGAAGGCGAUCUCCUGGAACAUUACUGACGCUAAGGCGUGAAAGCGUGGGGAGCAAACAGGAUUAGAUACCCCCGUAGUC